UCUUGAUCGAGACCUUGAAAUUUAAUUCGGAGGAUCAAGCAGUUUGUUCGUUCCACCCCCAUGUGUUCCGGUUAGUGUAAUUAGUGAUUCGAGAGAGUUAGGCACGAGUCCGUGACGAUACGAUAAGGAAACGGUCCGAAGCAUUCUAGUUGGCUCUGGAUCGCGCUAUCACGAACGACGAUCCCUCAUCAUCGUCGCGGUUCUGUUACUACUUUGUCGCUUGACUCGGCGACGACGAGACACUGUGCGGCGUACACGCGGCUCUGUUCCCGCUCAUACCGCGUCACUUUUAGUGAACACGCGCCGCCCGCCGCACACGAGGAGAGGAAAUCGGAACGCGGACCCCGUAACACAGUGUACUUGCGAAUGAUACGAAGAGAGACAAAAAAAAGACCGGACGGCUAAGUUCAGGGGUCGUCGGACAUCGACGACAUUGUAUUCGUUUUCACUGAACUUCCAGCGAGCCUCGCGACCGAUUUCAUCGGAACUUUUCUACCGCGCGUGGAGCUAAGUACCGCAGACCACUACUGUCAACGUUUCUUUCGACAUUUCUUUCUCUACUGUACAGUGAGCUGCUAAGAUGUGGACAUUACCGCAAGAAGAAAAGACGCAAUGUAGGUAUCGUUUAUUCACACAUUCUGACGUCCACACGUGUGACUAUAACUAUAGAGAAGCUCGUAAUCCAGGUAUGUAUGGAUGUCGUACGACGGCCAUGUUUCAUUAUGCAAUGAACAAUAUUUACAUUGUAUAAACAUUUUUAGAAAUUCCUAUGCUCAUUCAAUUUAGUACAAUGUCAAUUCGAGUGUUUAGAUAUUCUCAAGAACAAUCAUGUCUUUUACGAUUAGAAAAUAUCGAAUUUCGAAUUUUAAAAAACGCGGCGCAUUAUUUUAUGUCACUAUUCCUCAAAUGAGUGCUCACUAAUAAAAAACUUCCCGUGUAAAGUAAAAUUUAAUUAUAGAAAAGUUAUCUGUUUAUCAGUCGUAAGGAGGGAUGCCUCGGCGAUAAUCGCGUGUAAUCUAGGAAAGAACGAUGUCGUACUUGACCGCGUGCUCGAUCCGUGAUUUUGACGAAGAAUCGUACGAUAUUGAAUCACGAAUCGAGAACCGGCCAGUAACGUGGUUACUUCGUUAUCAACGAUACAUGUGUAAACCAUGUAUCUAAUGAGGCUCAUCGUGAUAAACCCGAGCGUGAAUUCGACCCAAGUGUCCCAAUUGUUAUGAUUUCUUUUGAUCGUCAUACGCACUGUGUUCCCCAAUUUCUUUGUGUUAUUCAAAACCAAAUUCUAUGAUCUGAUAAAAUUAAAUUACAUGCACAAAAAUGAUCGAGUAGUUACCAUUUUCCCCAGAUGUUAGAAAAAUUAAAUAUGCAUAUAAAUAUGUAUAAUUAUUUCUAGUAAUAGAACUGAAAACAGAGUUAUGUAAUAUGAUAACUUUUAGACUUAUGUAACGAGAUAAAUUAUAUUUUUCUUCACUGACCUUCCCGCUUUCAUUUUUUUCGAAGUGUAAGAGACAUUGAGUGACAGUGAAAAUAGCGAAAUAUAAUACUUAAGUACAAUUUGUUAUAUAAUUUAUGUUAAUUAUAUCUUGGUGUUGAGGCUACAAGAUGUCUUUCAAUGCGAACGUAUAUACAUGUUUUUACUCAGUUUAUUACUGAUUACAUAAAUAAGUGGACUCUUUUCAUUAAUAAUAAAAGCUUUCCGAAAGAACUUUGGCUGUUUCGAAAUUCGUUUACGUACGAUUGUACGAAGUGAAUUUACGAUAAUAAUGUACUGUACUGUAAUUAAGAGUAUACAUAUAUAUAUAACCGUUUAUCGAUAAGAUUGGAACCACGAGUCGAAUAAUGACCUACAAUAAUUGCAAGUAUUCGACAAAAUAUCUAGCAAACUAUAACCAUUUAUUAUCUACAAGUUCUAAUAAAUAACGUCACUAUUACGUUCCUGAACAUUUUUGAUAAUUGCCAAAACAUUUAAUCAUUACAACUGAUAUCACUGGAUUAAAGUGGAAGUGGCAUUUAAAUCUAUAAAAAUAAUCUAAAAAAUUCAACGACUAAAACUUAUCCUGGUUGAUUUGUCACGUGAGUUGAUCAAUCUAAAAAAUUGCACGACUCGCAAUAUCAGUCAUUGAUAAAUACGGUAUCGAUUAUUGUAUAAUUAAUGACGUAAUUUAUUAUAUGCUGACAUAUAUCAAGUAAAUUUCCGGGAUAAUACAAAUUCUCCGUAUUCGUCGUAUGUAAUUUCAUGCGCUUUCAGAUCGAUAACGUAUAGGAUCGUGAAGUAUACACCAAGCUACUUUAAUGUUAGAACUAUUGAGUGCAAUCGUUUAUCGAAAUUCUAUAUCCUUCGGAUUUUUUUAUUUAUCGUAAAUUAACAUGCACAGUAAUAUUUAUGUAGUUACAAGCAGGUCACUACAAACGUCUUAUGUUUGUUCGAAUAAUAAUAAUAUCAGCAAAGUUAGAAAACACGAACAGAUAUAAGGGAAAGUAAUGAAAUAGGUAAAAAAACUGGCGACCUAAUUAAGCCGAAGGAGUAUUAAUUUAUAAAUAAAUUGAUUUGUCAUCAAUGGAAUCGUGUCAGCUAUUAACGUAAUUUUGACUUCGUGAAGCACUACGUAGACAGGCGGGAGUGCACCCUUUAUCUAAUAAAAACGCAUUAGCGGUACGGAAAUAUUACGUUGGAAAACGAUUGAGUUUUCCUCAGCCCGUAUUCUAAUUAUUUAUGUAUAUUUAGCGGUGGCAAACUCUAUGGAUUUUCACGCAAGGCAAUCAAAAAAUUGACAGAGCCAGUCUGAUUGGUCAAUUGCAGUGUCAGGCGACGCAUACCGUAUUUCGAUUGGCCUGUACAAAGCGUGCGGUGUAACCAAGUAACACGCGUCACCAACCGAUGUAUACCGACUGUGACUCUUUAACGUAAUUGUAUAUGGAAAAUUCUUGCGUAAUUUCUCGAUUACUAAUUAAUCAGAUCUAGAAUCGCCGUAAGAACAGUAAAACU